GGAGAUGAAAGAGACAAAGACGA
rnacentral:siRNA from 1 species